rnacentral:piRNA from 1 species
UAGCUGAUCAGCUGGUUGGUGAGGACUCCU